rnacentral:rRNA from 1 species
CACGUAGGGGGCAAGCGUUGUCCGGAUUUAUUGGGCGUAAAGAGCUCGUAGGUGGUUCGGUAAGUCGGGUGUUAAACCCCCAGCUCAACCUGGGGACGCCACUCGAUACUGCUGUGACUAGAGUCCGGUAGGGGAGCGUGGAAUUCCUGGUGUAGCGGUGAAAUGCGCAGAUAAUCAGGAGGAACAGCCAGCGGCCGGUAAAGG